AAGCGCCACAGGAUUGUCAAAUUAAGGAGUCCCCAGGAGCCCUGGUCCCCCAAGUGGGAGAGUGAAAAUAACCGUCUGUGAAGAGGAUCCUGGAAGUACCCGUCUGAGCCCAGAGGCACUGUGUAGAGAUGGCUGAGUCAUAGAAAAUCAUGGAAACAACUUUUGUUCAACUCAAGGAUCUUCCUGCUUAAGAGCAAUUAAAUUCCCAGAUGAAGUAAGCAGUAAAAAAAACAUCUGGAUGAAGUAAAAAACAUCUGGAUGAUGGUAUGUGGGGUUCACUGGACAUUUUGCUUUUGUAUAUAUUUGACAUUUUCAUAAUAAACUAAAAAAUUCCCUGUGGCUAUAAAGCAUACUAUAUAAGUCGUCUCAAACUUCCAUCCACAAGAACAUUACCAAAAUGAAAAGUUUGUCACUCUGAAUAUGCCCGAUUUCAUGGAGAGUUAUUUUUUUGUUUAAUCGUGGAUAAAGAAUAAUUCACACUGGAUACUUGGAUAGCAUACGCAUCAGAUUGGAUGUGACUUGCUAGUUCUGCUGGAAUUUAAUUGCCAGAUAAGAGUGGACUACUGCACACUGACCCAAACUAGUUGUUGUGUUAGCUUAUUUAUUUAUACUAAAUUUUACCACAAAAAAUGCAUAAAGAGUGCAGAAAUAAACUGUAACACUAUUUUGUCUGAUGGUCUUAAGUUAAAAAUUAGGUGUCACAUUUACAAAGGUGAAAAUAUAGUAAAAUGGAAUGUUGACUUGAAUUCUCUUUUAACUUGGAAGACUUGGGUUUCUUUUCUGGUUAUUUUCCCAACAGAGUGCCAUGGCAGCCAUGUUUUUCUGGGUGUAACCUCUAGGGAUUUCAUUUUGGGGCAGCAUAAGUCUUAACUUCAAAGAAGAUAGUUUUAUCGUUGUCUUAACAGAAGUGAAAAAAAGCUGAAGUGGUCCACAAAAAAAAUUCCAUCUCCUGUCUCUCUCCCCUCCCAGGAAAGGUAUUUUUUUCUGUGUGGUGUACUCUCUCUACAGGUCUUCUAGGAUUUUCUCUAUAGUAGGAAAAUCAUCCUAGACUUUAUGUAUAGAAAGAUUAAUGUCUCAGAUUUUCAGAAUGAUUAUGAAAUUUCACCCUCCUGACUGCACAUUUGCACUUCAUCUCUCACUGAUGUGCUAUGCUGUACUAAGCCACUUCAGUUGUAUCCAACUCUUUGCGACCCUAUGGACUGUAGCCUACCAGGCUCCUCUGUCCAUGGGAUUCUCCAGGCAAGAAUACUGGUGUGGGUUGCCAUUUCCUUCUCCACCAUCUCUUACUGCUAAGUGUUCUCAAUUCAAGAGAUGAAGGCAAAAAGCAAACAGGAUUUGAGUUAUUGAUCAGUUGCUCCUUCCAUGAUUGUAAUUUGCAUUCUAAAAACUAGUGAUUAAAAAAUAAAAUAAGCUCAACUGCUUCUCUCUUCAUUAUAAUAUUAGAAAAGUAGCUUUUUGCAUGAUUUCUAAUUUUUCCUUAAUAAAACCCAAAGCAGAAA